ensembl:snoRNA
GGCCUCCUGGUGCUUACUGCAGGCCAUGUUCUUACACUGACUGUACAGAAAGAGGACUCAUAGUAGACCUCCCCCCUAUACACCCAGCUCAGGCCUUGCGGUCUGUAUUGUGCCAUAAGGGGACAUGG